AGCAGAUAUGGUGAAGUGCUCUGUGCUUUCUACUCCUACUGAAGCUACUCAGUACCUUACAGUCUAAAGCCUCUUGCUGAUGAAUGCUACCUUCGUGAUUCUGAUCCUGCAGUCUAUUGUAAACUGCCAGAGCAUGCAUUAGCAAACAAAUAUAGGUGCAGUAUGCCAUGGAGGAAGACGUAUCUAUGGAUUAGAGAUAUUUCAAUGCUGAAACUUGAGACCAGGCACAAUGAGAGUCAUUUGGACAACUGGUUAGAGCAAUCAGAGAAACUGGAAAUAUUUGGAUUCCUGACAAGCACUCAACCUGUAAUAGAAAUUUGAGGAGAAUGACAAGGAACGUAAAGUGAAAUGGUGCAGGUUGAACCAAAAAUCGUCAUGUCAAGAAACAACCAUAUUGGUAUAGAAGUGAUGAUAUCAUCCCUGAUUCGUUAGAAUACCUGCCACGUGGAACAGAUACCUGAAUUAGGGCUUAAGAUUUCAGACUUCUUCACCACAGCUCUGCAAAUCUGAAUGUUCUGAUUGGUGGUUUUUUUUUCUGGAAAACUUCUGGGAAAUCUCAACGUCUUCUGCCAAAUAUUCUUCUUAUUGCCCUGCACUUUGCAAAUUCAGUGUUAAGUGAUCAAAUAGAAGCCCAAAGCCAUUCAAGGUGUUAGUACUGAACAGAAGAAAUCGGAAUCUUUGUGAUUUGUCUUUGAUUAGAUCUGCCUCAUGCUGCAAGCAGUACUUCAAGAAGAAAGAUGCAUUUGCUGCUUUUGUUUCUCACCUCCAGAAUGUAAGCGACCAGCAGCACCAAAGACUAAAGCUGACCGUUUUGUUUGAUUUUAAGAAACAAAGUGUAGAGAAAGAAAAUGCACUUUAAUGUGUCUGCAUUUUUCCCCCAUACUUCAAAGGAUACUACUAACAUUUUAUAGCAGGCUCUUCUUGCCUAGCUAGAUAAUGAAGUGACUCCACCAAGAGGUGGUCUGGUCUGCACUAGAUGCAUUUGGCAGGCUAACCACAUUCAGUCCUCCUGUCUCAUCUGCAGCACUUAUUGUUUUCACACACAAAAUUGUUUGCAAUGGCACACAGGUGCUCACCACAUUGUUUUGGAUCAGAUUUUUUUUGAGGAAGGCUAACUACAAGAUGAUGCUCCAUUGUGCCACACUAUGCCAGUGCAAUGUUAAUGUGCACAGGGAUGGUUUGUGUAAUAGCCUCCAUAGUUCAUAUAGUUCUCCACUACAGUUCCACAGUACUGCUUAAGCGGCCUGCCUGGUCUUCUCUCUGGACUCCCCUGCACAGAUGUCAUGUUGGCUAGAAGCCACUUGGUGCCACAAACACUGUAGAACUCAGUUGUUUGCUAUUUUCAUAUUGAUCAACUUCUUUGACUUUACUCUGUUUUUGGCAUUAUCAUGUCUCAAAGAUGGCCUUCCUAGGAGUGUGCCACAGCUGAAUGGAGGCUGACAUAUGAACAUCAAGGGAGAUCCAGGGCCAGCUGAACUUGAUCAUUCACAACACUUUGGUAUAUGACUGUGUGAUCUAGCACCUACUGAGAUGAGCAUCACUCAGGGUAGUAAGCAGUGCCGAGAGAAGAUCAAGGUACUUAAAGUCCAAUAUAAUAAGGCCUGGGACACAUCAAUAAGGCAUAAAAGUUAUCUGUUCUAUGAUUAAUAGGAUCAGAUCCUCACAGAUCACCCAUCCUUGAGGAUGAGGUGACCUGGAGAGCACAUAGGUACUUUUGCACUGAAAUGAUGAAGAAUGAGAGGAACUCCGUGAGACAACAUCAAGAGUUGCGUGAGAUAUUGCUAGGAUCUCCCAAUUUCUUUGCAGGAACCUAAGAUCAGAAACAGCAGUUUAAAGGCAGAUGAGCAGGUUCAGACGGAGGAAUCGGUAGAUGCGAGGUUCCCUUGUCAACAGGUUAACUUCAUUAACUUCAGAGUCCCAAACUACAGCGUUAGUGACUUAUGUGGAGUUGUGCCAUUUAUGUUCAUAGUGAAUUUGGACCAUGAUGUGUGUGCACAAAUCUUGCACAUUAUUACAGCUCAAAGUACAAUCAGGCACCUCAUGGUCCUCAGGCAGCAGGUUUAUCAGGUGAGGCAAAAAGAGAGGCCCCAUCUGGCUGAGCCAGUGAGAGCUGAGCUAAGCCCCCUCAGCUAGAAGUUGCUCUUUGCUUGUCAUACACAGUGAUAUAUGAAGGUAAUUGCUUUAGUGUGCAGUUAAUUACAAUACUGUAAUUAGCAGGUUGCAAGAGCAGAUGUAAGGGGUCCUUGCAUAGUUCAGACUCUGAUAUGCCAGGAAAGCAUCUCAGAAAAAGAGGGCAGCACAAUGUCACAUUGUAAUGCGACUUUGUGCCUGGAAAAGGGGGGGUAAUUAGCUGAAUGCUCCACUCUUCAUAUUGAUUUCUUUUAAGGCACAGGGGGCUAAUAUCUUCAUGAAUUUAAUUUUAAAGAACUAGCAAACAGUAGCAAAUCUUAAUUCCUCCUGGGUAGUAGCAAGGUAAAAAAGGGAACAGAAUCUACCUAUAAUCCCUGCAGCCUUUCCUGGGAAAAGGAGAAAGAGUCACAAAAUCUUUGAUAACCUUCUCCAUGGCAACUGGAGCACAGACCUGACCAUUGGCCAGCAGGUUACGGCUACCAGAGGAAGAGAAGCAGUGGUGGCUGUAGGUUAGUAUUCUAUGGGGGCCCUUGUAAGUUAUCUUCACUUUAUGAGUACUUGUUAACAAAAAGUCACUUUUCAAAGUGACCUUCAGUUCUGUGAGGUUGGUAGCAGGCUGUGCAAUGGGGUUAUCUGGAUCAGUUUAGUUUCAGCCAUAAGGGAAUCUUGGAAGGUUUUGAUGAUCAUUUAAGGUCAGAGCUGUUUGGUAGAUGAACUGGCACGAAGCUCGGCCACACACUACUUUGAGGCAGUAUAUCAGCAUGAGGGUUUCAGACCACCAGCUUUGAUGUGGUUUCAGGCCUCUUGAGAGAGCUUAUUUUCUUGUUAGUUUUGUUGCCCAGAAAGGGAACCCUGUAAUGUGCAGUUUUACAAGAAUGCAGAAUAGUUUAAGAAGUGGUCAAUUGUUUUGCUGUAAGAAAACAGAUAAAGUGGAGCUAACUUUCUAUAUAUCCAGUAGCUUUCACAGCACUCUCUAUUCUUUAACUCACGCCAUUAUCCAAGUAAAUUAUCAAGCCUUGGUAUUAGUAUUUAUUGAAAUUAGCUAUUAAAAGGGAUUAAAGUGCAUAGUCUCUUGAAAUGUUUGCCGAAGUCAGUACAAGUUGCACAUUUAAUUAUUGUGUACUUAGAAUCUAAUAAUCAUAGAAGAUCAAAUACACAGUUAGGUUGAGUC